GUUGCACGCGUUAACCCUUCCACUACGAUUUGCGCGGGAUCGCGCCGCGGCGUCCAUUUUGGCGACACGCACGAACACGAUCGGCAUCGCAUCGAUCGGGAUGGAGUCGAGAGCAAUGCGAAUAUUCUGAAUUUCCAAAGAUCCGACUAAAUCUGCAGCUUCACUGCGAAGACAGUUCUAUCCCGGCGGAAGUACCAAAGGAUUCGUACUCGAAAAACUCGAUCGAGGUGUACUGAUCGCACAGACCUUCUCGAAGUAAGUUUUUAUUGGCGUUGGAAAUAUAACGCCAUCGCCGUUCACGUUCCGGUGUCCUGCGUGUGUACGACCUUGUAUAGAUACGACGCUCAAAAAAGAAACACGUGUUGACGGAAGUCCGGCGGCAUUGCGUUCGAUAUUUCAAAGGUUCGAUGUAAAUACAAGAGCCAGCAAGGAGAAAGCAAGCGUCGCGCCACGAUAUCAAAACCGACAAUAUUUACAUUAUCCCGUGCCUAUUGCCAACUGUUGUCGCUCCACCACUACAGGCGGUCAAGCUUUGUCAACAUUUCGACAACACUAUCGAGACACACCGGAGCCUCGUGUAUCGCGUGAUUUCCCGAACGUCUUCAUUACGUCCCGGGCCGACGAUCGAGCGACGCGUGUACGCGUACGUACACGGACGAAGCGUGUAUCGGAAGCGUUAUCAUUCCUUCCGCGCGAUCGAGAUACUUCGUCGGCCGUUGAAAUACUUAAUCAGGCUCUCGCGUCGGCGUCGCGUUAUUUAACACAUAUAUCUUUGAAUCGUCGUAUCUACGCAAGUGCGAGUGCCGUGAUGGAGGAGCACAGCCAGGAUGCUGGAUAAAGAAGGCAGGACGGAGGACGAAGGCAGGCUGGGACGAAGGCAGAGUAGGUCAUCAGACAUCGAAUAUCUUCAAGGACGAGGAGCCCGUCGUCUUGCCGGUGGUCGCAGUCCUUCGUCGAGGCAUCGAGGACCUCAAAGGGACUCCUCGAGGGAGGAGAGAGAAGGAAGGAAGGAAGGAAGGAAGAGAUACGGCGGCUCCGAGAGAUACUCGCUACCCGGCUGUUAAACGAAAGCGAGUCCGGCGUGUGUGUAACCGACUGCGCGCGAACUCUCGCGCACGGAUUCGCCGCUUCAUAAUCGCCGUCUCACCCGGCUCGAUGACCUUGAGAUCUUCUUCCACUUCAACGUUCGCGCCCCACCCUGCCUACCGGCGACGCAUCGAUACGAUAACAAUAACGUCCGCGUCUACUUGAGCGCGCGGUCCGGAGGAGCGAAGACGUUCUCUCUCGAUUGGCGGCAGCGUAGAAGGAGAAGGAGGAGGAGGACAGGGUGAAGGACAGGGGAGGCAGAGGGUGAGGAAAAAGCCGGUUGACACGAGGGAGGAACGCCAGGAACGAGAAGAGAGGAACGUUCGAAUGCGCUGGGACGAGACGACGAGGCGUGAGUAAGCUCGCGGGAGGAAAUUAAUUCGUAGAAAGGGAGGAAGUGUAGGAGGAGGAGGAGAAGGAGGAGGAGAAGGAGGAGG